GAUGAACGCUGGCGGCGUGCCUAAUACAUGCAAGUCGAGCGAAUGGAUUAAGAGCUUGCUCUUAUGAAGUUAGCGGCGGACGGGUGAGUAACACAUGGGUAACCUGCCCAUAAGACUGGGAUAACUCCGGGAAACCGGGGCUAAUACCGGAUAACAUUUUGAACCGCAUGGUUCGAAAUUGAAAGGCGGCUUCGGCCGUCACUUAUGGAUGGGCCCGCGUCGCAUUAGCUAGUUGGUGAGGUAACGGCUCACCAAGGCAACGAUGCGUAGCCGACCUGAGAGGGUGGUCGGCCACACUGGGACUGAGACACGGCCCAGACUCCUACGGGAGGCAGCAGUAGGGAAUCUUCCGCAAUGGACGAAAGUCUGACGGAGCAACGCCGCGUGAGUGAUGAAGGCUUUCGGGUCGUAAAACUCUGUUGUUAGGGAAGAACAAGUGCUAGUUGAAUAAGCUGGCACCUUGACGGUACCUAACCAGAAAGCCACGGCUAACUACGUGCCAGCCGCCGCCGUAA
rnacentral:rRNA from 1 species